rnacentral:rRNA from 1 species
AUUGAACGCUGGCGGCAUGCCUUACACAUGCAAGUCGAACGGCAGCACGGGUGCUUGCACCUGGUGGCGAGUGGCGAACGGGUGAGUAAUACAUCGGAACGUACCUUAUCGUGGGGGAUAACGCAGCGAAAGCUGUGCUAAUACCGCAUACGCCCUGAGGGGGAAAGCGGGGGAUCGAAAGACCUCGCGCGAUUAGAGCGGCCGAUGCCUGAUUAGCUUGUUGGUGGGGUAAAAGCCCACCAAGGCGACGAUCAGUAGCUGGUCUGAGAGGACAAUCAGCCCCACUGGGACUGAGACACGGCCCAGACUCCUACGGGAGGCAGCAGUGGGGAAUUUUGGACAAGGGGGGCAACCCUGAUCCAGCAAUGCCGCGUGAGUGAAGAAGGCCUUCGGGUUGUAAAGCUCCUUUGUCAGGGAAGAAACACCGGCUCUAACACAGUCCGGGAAUGACGGUACCUGAAGAAUAAGCACCGGCUAACUACGUGCCAGCCGCCGCCGUAA